rnacentral:lncRNA from 1 species
GUUUAAAUCAGCUUAGCUGCGGAUAGAUUUCUGCCAUAAGCGGUUCUCGAGGUAUUAUCUGUUUGUAACAACAGUGGUUCAGCAUCUACAGUGGAUUCAACAUCAGGUGUUUGCUAUUAUUGUUUGAUGUUGUUUGCCAUUAUUGUUUGAUGUUGUUUGCUAUUAUUGUUUGAUGUUGUUUGCUAUUGUUGUCAAGUAAGGUAAAAAUGGCCAUUUUAAUUACCUGAAUAUUGCGUAUGAUAUCCUUUUAAUUUUAAUCGCGCAAUAAGUUUUUUGGUUUGUUUCUUUCGUAUUUCCUUAUGAUUUGUAUCCUAUUACGGUUUGAUUUUAUAUUGAUCAUCACAUUAUUGUUGAAGGGAUCAUUUGAGUGAA